rnacentral:rRNA from 1 species
UACGUAGGGGGCAAGCGUUGUCCGGAUUCAUUGGGCGUAAAGAGCUCGUAGGCGGUUCAGUAAGUCGGGUGUGAAAGCUCCGAGCUCAACUCGGAGAGGCCACCCGAUACUGCUGUGACUUGAGUCCAGUAGAGGAGCGUGGAAUUCCUGGUGUAGCGGUGAAAUGCGCAGAUAUCAGGAGGAACACCAGCAGCGAAGGCGGCGCUCUGGGCUGGAACUGACGCUGAGGAGCGAAAGCGUGGGUAGCAAACAGGAUUAGAUACCCUGGUAGUCCACGCCGUAAACGUUGGGCACUAGGUGUGGGGAGGAUUCAACCCUUUCCGUGCCGCAGCUAACGCAUUAAGUGCCCCGCCUGGGGAGUACGGCCGCAAGGCUAAA